rnacentral:rRNA from 1 species
AACGAACGCUGGCGGCAUGCCUAACACAUGCAAGUCGAACGAGACCUUCGGGUCUAGUGGCGCACGGGUGCGUAACGCGUGGGAACCUGCCCUUAGGCUCGGGAUAACUCCCCGAAAGGGGUGCUAAUACCGGAUAAUGUCUUCGGACCAAAGAUUUAUCGCCUUUGGAUGGGCCCGCGUUGGAUUAGCUAGUUGGUAGGGUAAAAGCCUACCAAGGCGACGAUCCAUAGCUGGUCUGAGAGGAUGAUCAGCCACACUGGGACUGAGACACGGCCCAGACUCCUACGGGAAGCAGCAGUGGGGAAUAUUGGACAAUGGGCGAAAGCCUGAUCCAGCAAUGCCGCGUGAGUGAUGAAGGCCUUAGGGUUGUAAAGCUCUUUUACCCGGGAUGAUAAUGACAGUACCGGGAGAAUAAGCUCCGGCUAACUCCGUG